rnacentral:rRNA from 1 species
ACCAGACUCCUACGGGAGGCAGCAGUGGGGAAUAUUGCACAAUGGGGGAAACCCUGAUGCAGCGACGCCGCGUGAGUGAAGAAGUAUUUCGGUAUGUAAAGCUCUAUCAGCAGGAACGAGACAAGACGGUACCUGACUAAGAAGCCCCGGCUAACUACGUGCCAGCAGCCGCGGUAAUACGUAGGGGGCAAGCGUUAUCCGGAAUCACUGGGUGUAAAGGGAGCGUAGACGGCUGUGCAAGCCUGAAGUGAAAGGCGGGGGCCCAACCCCCGGACUGCUUUGGGAACUGUACGGCUGGAGUGCAGGAGAGGUAAGUGGAAUUCCUAGUGUAGCGGUGAAAUGCGUAGAUAUUAGGAGGAACACCAGUGGCGAAGGCGGCUUACUGGACUGUAACUGACGUUGAGGCUCGAAAGCGUGGGGAGCAAACAGGAUUAGAUACCCUUGUA